AUCAUGAUAAGAAUUGGUUGAAUCAAGAACAACAUUGUGAUGUUAAAGGGGCAAGGCAUACAGACCAAUCAUGAUAAGAAUCGGUACGUAACUUUGAUACUCAAUAGUAUUAUAAUUUUUUUAUUUUGUUAGGAUCAAACUGAUGUGUUUUCUCUCUAUUGAGGUUGAAUCAAGAACAACAUCGUGAGUAGAGGAAAGGAUUAGAGGCCAAAUCCGACAAUAAUUGGCCCCGAUUGCGAGUGAGAUGAAUCGAGAAAAACACCGAGAGGACUAGAUGGACGAGGUUACGGCGCGACUGCAGUUGAUUCAUGAAGUGUCCCCUGUUUUUUAUGUGCCAUUGUUGUCUUUAAUAAACCUUCACAAGGUUUAGGUUUGAGGUUUGGAUAUAAUAAUGAUUUAAAUUAAAAUAAUAUUUUAUAUGAUAUUUUAAAUGAUCCGAGAUCAGAAUUAGACCUGAUAGAAAAAUACAAGCUUUUUGGACAUCGCUUACCAAUGGAUUUUUGAAUACAUUGACCGGAGAUCGCUCUUGGCGAAUGAGCAAUUUUACUUCAAUAAAGUGAUAACAACAUUAGAU